UAUUAAACAUGUAGGUACCUAAGUCUUGCGUUCUAAAUGGUUCGUCGAGUGUUUAUUUUUUCGCAAAUGUUCGAUAGGUACUAGGUAGAUCAUUGUUCUUCAACGGCGGUCUUCGGCGUACCUACCUCCUCUUUUUCAAAGUGUUGUUUCAUUUGCAAGUUGCAACAAUCGAUAACAAUAGGUACCCAAUUACCCAUGUAGUAUUUUUACUUUAGAAAAUCCAAAAUAAACUAAAUUCCGAGAAGCUCCGGCUGUCGACUCGACUGACUAGUUGUUAGCACUUUCAGUCUUUCUAUUGUUUUAGUUUUAACUUUAGCUUAUAGAUGGCCCACUUUAUAAUAAUCUGCGAAAGAUCUUGGCCAAAAUAUCCCGGAGCUUUACGAUUUUGAAUUAUGUGAUAUCAGUGAUAAGAAAUUGAACUUUUUAAAAAAUUGUACAGAAUUGUGAAAGUUUAUGCUUGAAGUGAUUUUUUAGAAUCUUUCUAAAGGCAAAAUGGCACAAAACUCCAGAUUGAUUAGAAACUUGUUAUACGAAGUGAAAGACGCUACACUCGAUAAGAGUGUGAAGAAUUCUGUAAUUGGACCUUAUAUCAUGAAUUUAUGCAAAAAAUUUCAAGUUACCGAUGCUCAAUUGUGUAGGAAAAAAGAUGAAGCGGUGUAUUUAGCAGAUACAUAUCGAUGUUAUUUGGAAAGCUCUCGACGUUUUAAAGAACUUUGUGAAAAAUAUCAAGGUAGAGGCGAACGUAGUAUUAAACAAACUGCUGAUAUGGUUGGGUUCAAAUUACCUCAUGAUCCCAAGUAAAGUAAACUCAUCUUUUCAAGUUUAAUCCAAGGAAAGUGUCUGUGUCUAGUUGAAAAGUGUUUUUGUGUAGAACUUUCGUUCAUAUGACUCCUUUUGACUUUAAAAUCGUUGAUUUGAGAUACGAAGUAUAGAGAUUUAUUACAUUUGGAAUAUUAUUUAAAAUCCACUUUUGUUCGACUGUGUUUUAGUACCGAUGUUAGUGGAAGUGAUGUUUUUUUUUUGUUAAUUACCUUACGUUAAUUUACCGAAUAAAAGUAUAAUUUUU